rnacentral:rRNA from 1 species
AGCGAACGCUGGCGGCAGGCUUAACACAUGCAAGUCGAGCGGGCAUAGCAAUAUGUCAGCGGCAGACGGGUGAGUAACGCGUGGGAACGUACCUUUUGGUUCGGAACAACACAGGGAAACUUGUGCUAAUACCGGAUAAGCCCUUACGGGGAAAGAUUGAUCGCCGAAAGAUCGGCCCGCGUCUGAUUAGCUAGUUGGUGGGGUAAUGGCUAACCAAGGCGACGAUCAGUAGCUGGUCUGAGAGGAGGAUCAGCCACAUUGGGACUGAGACACGGCCCAAAACCCGACGGGAGGGAGCAGUGGGUAAUAUUGGAGAAGGGGCGCAAGCCUGAUCAAGCCAUGCGGCGGGAGUGAUGAAGGCCCUAGGGUUGUAAAGCCCUUUGGGGCGGGAAGAUAAUGACGGUACCGCAAGAAUAAGCCCCGGCUAACUUCGUG